GACGAACGCUGGCGGCGUGCCUAAUACAUGCAAGUAGAACGCACAGUUUAUACCGUAGCUUGCUACACCAUAGACUGUGAGUUGCGAACGGGUGAGUAACGCGUAGGUAACCUGCCUGGUAGCGGGGGAUAACUAUGGGAAACGAUAGCUAAUACCGCAUAAUAUUCAUUAUUGCAAGAUAAUUAAUUGAAAGGCGCAAUUGCACCACUACCAGAUGGACCUGCGGUGUAUUAGCUAGUAGGAGAGGUAACGGCUCACCUAGGCGACGAUACAUAGCCGACCUGAGAAGGGGAACCGCCACACUGGGAAUGAGACACCGCCCAGAAUCCUACAGGAAGGAGCAGGAGGGAAUCUUCGGCAAUGGACGAAAGUCUGACCGGACAACGCCGGGUGAGUGGAGAAGGGUUUCGGGUCGGAAAACUCUGUUGUAAGGGAAGAACGAGUGUGGGAGUGGAAAGUUCACACUGUGACGGUAUCUAACCAGAAAGGGACGGCUAACUACGUG
rnacentral:rRNA from 1 species